rnacentral:sRNA from 1 species
UGCUAUCUGCGAUACAGAAGAUUCGAACCUGCCGCAGGUUCGGGUCUCACGUAGUGAGACAACGGAGCCGCUUGCGGCGACGGCCCGAAGGGCGAGCGAAGCGAGUCAUCCUGCACGACCCACCA